CCAGAUGAUCAGUAGAAUUGAACAUGUGCAUACAAAGAAUUUUAUACACAGAGCCAUUAAACCAGGUAACUUCCUAAUGGGUAUUGGGCGUCACUGUAGUAAGUUAUUCCGUAUUGAUUUUGGUUUGGCCAAAACGUACGGAGACAACAGGACAAGGCAACACAUACCAUACAGAGAAGAUAAAAACCUCACUGGCACUGCCCUGUAUGCUAGCCAUGCACAUCUUAGUAUUGAGCAGAGUCGCCGGGAUGACAUGGAAUCGUUAGAAUAUGUUUUGAUGUAUUUUAAUAGAACCAGCCAACCAGCCUGCCAUGGCAAGGGCUAAAGGCUGCAGCAGAGAAACAAAAAUAUGAAAAGAUUAGUGAAAAGAAGAUGUCUACUCCUGUUUUUUGUAAGGGGUUUGCUGCAGAAUUUGCCAUAUACUUAAACCCUUGUCGUGGGCUACACUUAGAGAAAGCCCCAGAUUACAUGUAUCUGACGCAGCUAUUCUGCAUUCUUUUCAGGACCCUGAUCCAUCAAUAUGACUACACAUUUGAUUGGACAAAGUUAAAGCAGAAAGCAGCACAGCAGGCAGCCUCUUCUAGUGGGAGGGGCAGCAGGCCCAAACCCCAACAGGUUUCUAAGCAUGAAUUGAGGAACAGAAGCAGCAGAGCAGAUGAUCAGAGCAGCAUUUGUUUCUCCCCAAAUCUAGAAAUUUUAGUUCAUGUGUACAUUAGCCAGUGGUCAUGGACAGCCAUUUACUUGGUGUAAAGAACUUAAUUUUAGUAUAAACUGACUCUGGGUAGCAUUGGUGAUGCUGUAUCCUGAGCUGUGGCUACUGUAAUUGUGAAUAUUAACUGAGACAGUGAAACAUGGUGGCCGGGUUUCUAGUGCAUUUUUUUUCAAGUGAAAAAGUUUACUAAAUGGUUGACACACACAAAUUGGUGGAGAAAUUAUGCAUAUGCCAAUUUUCUGUUAAAACCUUUUGUUUUGAA
rnacentral:lncRNA from 1 species